GUAGUUGAUCCUGGCUCAGAACGAACGCUGGCGGCAUGCCUAACACAUGCAAGUCGAACGAGACCUUCGGGUCUAGUGGCGCACGGGUGCGUAACGCGUGGGAAUCUGCCCUUUGCUUCGGAAUAACAGUUAGAAAUGACUGCUAAUACCGGAUGAUGUCGUAAGACCAAAGAUUUAUCGGCAAAGGAUGAGCCCGCGUAGGAUUAGGUAGUUGGUGGGGUAAAGGCCUACCAAGCCGACGAUCCUUAGCUGGUCUGAGAGGAUGAUCAGCCACACUGGGACUGAGACACGGCCCAGACUCCUACGGGAGGCAGCAGUGGGGAAUAUUGGACAAUGGGCGAAAGCCUGAUCCAACAAUGCCGCGUGAGUGAUGAAGGCCUUAGGGUUGUAAAGCUCUUUUACCAGGGAUGAUAAUGACAGUACCUGGAGAAUAAGCUCCGGCUAACUCCGUG
rnacentral:rRNA from 1 species